UUUAUUCAUUAGAGAGAGAGAGAGGCAGAGACACAGGCAGAGGGAGAAGCAGGCUCCACGUAGGGAGCCCGACAUGGGCCUCGAUCCAGGGUCACGCCCUGGGCCAAAGGCAGGUGCUUAACCCCUGAGCCACCUGGGCUGCCGCCGCCUCCUUUUUCUGUUAGCCUGUUACGUCCCCAGGAUUUGUCCGUAACCAGGUGCAGUGGGGCCUGCACACAUGGAAAUGACUGUCAGGAAGUAGAAACAAGACCUGUUCCUAGAGGCCUGCGGGUAUAGACCUCUAGGAACAGGAUUCGGGGACAAGUGGGGACAGGCCGGGGUCAGGGAGAGGGGAGAGGGCAGAGCAAGGCCUGGAAACGUCACUGGGCUUCUCUUGGGAAGGCCUGGGGAGACAGGGAGGGCCCGGAGUUGGCUUAGUUUGGAGAGUUUGAAGAAUCCCGGCAGGCUCUGGACUACAAGGGGCGGUCCCCUGCUGUCUGGGACCUAGUCCUGGGGUGUCGUACGCAGGGGGAGGGAUUCUGGCUUCGUGGGUGAGAGUUUGAUGAAGCAGGUUACUGGGGAUGUGGGCAUUUUGGGGUGGUUGGCUUGUAUAUGGCAGGCGCACCUGGAGGGGAGUCCUUCGCCUUCUCUAGGAAUUAGCCACCCCUGAGCGGGGCGGUCUCCCCAGGUUCAACACCCCAAGUGCCAGAGCAUCGAGGAAACCGAAAAUAAGAAAACACGGUCAAUAAGGUGGCCACCUCUGCCUCCCUGCAGAGUCCCGCCCUCUUAGUUUAUCACCUAAGCCUGUGUCCUCAAACAUCCUUUGCUGCUCAGAUCUUACUCUAGAUUGCACAGCUUAACCUAAAUCAGAUGUUAAUGAGAAAGAGGAGAGGGGUUCUAACAUGAACCAUGUUGAAGCGCUUCGAGGAUUUCGAUUUCUUGGGUUGUGCUGGAUGAGACCAGCCUUGCACAAGACGUGAGAAAGGGAAAUUGUUCUGAGAACGUCGACAUAACCCGCAUCGACCUAACCCAGCCGGAAGGUCUGAGAGGUGGGACCACUGGUGUCAAGCCGGGUCAGCUGUUGGGUGCAGGAGGCCUCUGCCAAGGACGCUGCGACUGCGGGGGAUCCCUGGGGGGCUCAGCGGUUGAGCAACGCCUUCAGCCCAGGGCGUGAUCCUGGGGUCCUGGGAUCGAGUCCCAUGUCGGGCUCCCUGCUUGGAGCCUGCUUCUCCCUCUGCCUGUGUCUCUGCCUCUCUCUCUCAUGAAUAAAUAAAAUUUAAAAAAGAAGAAGCUCCUGCGGAUCAAUUUACCUGAGACCAAGGGCUGCUCAGCUGGGCAGAGAGCCGGCUUGGCAAUGAGGAGUUUACAUCGAGACCCCCGACAAGGCCCUCGCUGUGCCCACCAGCCUUGCACCACCAUAUCCCCCACCUUGACCUCUUAGCCACUGGGCCCCGAACCCCCAAACCCUACAAAGUCCUCCUCCGACUCCCCCUCCCUGCGCCCUGAGCUCCGAUGACCUUAGUCUUGCUUUAGCUGCAGGCGGUCAGAUGAUGUAUCGGGAAGCUCAACUGUGGUUUCCCGAGCCGCUGUAGUCAGGUGACUUGGGGACCAUCCUCUAUGCCAGCGACACCUUUGUGACGACGCAAUCGUGUGAGCAUAAUAAAGCUUCUGAAAAUUCUGCAUCAAAAAAGUAAAACUUCCAGAUUUUUUAAAAAAAGAUCUUACUAAUUGGAGACAGAAAGCAGGAGCAGGGAGGAAGGGCGGAGGCGCCCCCGAGGCACCCCCAAGCAGGGCGUCCGCUCGCAGGUCAGGGCCCUCGGGCCUCGGCUCCCGAAGCCGCUGCAGCAGGUGCGCGCCGCCCAGCACGCGCCUCGGCGAAUGUUCUCGAGGCGGACGGCUCCUGUUCCUGGUGGUGCCUCUGAAGGCUCAGAGGGAACCCCAGCUGGGGCCUGCACAGCCCUCUCAGGGGUGGAGGAGGCAUCCGUCGGGACCCCAACUUCCUUGCUGUUUCCUCUCUGGAAAAACCCUGCUUUCUGUCCCAGAUCGGGGGAGGAGAAACUAAGGAGUUCCCGAGAAUUCCAGGACCCAGAGCAGCGUCCGGGAAACAGGUGGCCAAGCAAAGAGGGCAACCCGCCUCACAGAAUCAAGGUUAUUCGAAUUACCACUGAACGUUUUGCCGGCGUGCUCCUUGGUGUGUCCUCAUUAAAAAUUAAUCACACUAAUAUUACAGUGAUUAAGAGGAAACAGCUGAAGGCAGACGCUGUGGCUCUGGCUGGGUGAAGCGAGGUACCAGGGCUGCUCCAGCCAAGAAGCUUCAUCGUCUUACUUAAAAAAAUAAGGGAAGGGGGGGCACCUGGGAGGCUCAGCGGUUGGGCCUCCGCCUUCAGCCCAGGGCGUGACCCCGGGGUCCCGGGAUCGAGUCCCGCGUCGGGCUCCCUGCAUGGGGCCUGCUCUCCCUCCGCCUGUCUCGGCUUUGUGUGUGUGUCUCUCAUGAAUAAACAAAUAAAAUCUUAAAAAAAAAAAAAAAAGAAGAAGAAGGAAGAGAAACUCGGGUCAGACCCGACCUAAGGACGUGUGGGCUGGGGCCUGGGCGCCGGGAGCCUGCUUCUCCCCCCAUGGUGUCUCCCGGCACCCAGUCGCCUCCUCAGGGCCUACAGCGGCCGCCUGCGGGGGAGUCAGAGCCCCCCCCCCCCCAGCACGGUCCAUCCACUCCCAGUCUAUGGAGCUGAAUUUGGAUUAUGCCAAGGGGGUUUUUCUGGUUUUGUUUUUUCCCUUGUCUACGCCCCGGGAGCCACUGUUCUUUCUUCUUUUUCCAACUGUAUGAUGGGGGGCAGAGGGCUCGGCGGAAGACGGUUCCGGGGGGAGCCGGGGGUUUCUCACAAGGGAUGAAAGGCCAAGGCCCUGCCCGGCUGGACAGGCCGAGAAGCCCGGGGCCGACGGCGCCGCCGGGCCCCCGCCCAGGCCACAGAGCCGCGCACCCCGGAGGCACGUCCCGUCCCCCCCCAUCAACCACCUCAAAGGCAAGGAGAAGCGGUGAAGGGCGAAAGCCCCCCUGGGCCAGUGACACGGAGGCUGGUCCUUCGAGUGUUCCCCUUGUACCCGAGCCCGGCCCCGCCCGGAGAAGCCAAAGGACAGACGUCCCAGCCCGGCGCUCCGACGCCCACAGCUUUCUAGUGCUGUGGGGACAGAAGGCUCCAGGCCUGUUAUUUAAAAACACAACCUGCUGAUUAUAAAAACUGUAUUACAGGGGAGAAGGGACCGCGGGCAGCCGGGGGCGGGGGGCCCCGAAACGCCAAAAUUGCGGGCUUUCUUUUCUACCCACACCCCCUGGCAGGGCCUGGCAGGGCCGGCCUCGUGGCCGCGGGCGGGAAGCACUGAGCGGGCAAGAGAAGGGGCCCGAAAGGAGGGGGCGACGAAACCCCACGCUCGAGGGGCACGGCGGGAAGGAGCGAGUCGUCACCCGAGUUUUGUUUUGAAGAUUUUAUUUAUUCAUGAGAGACGGGGGCGGGGGUGGGCAGAGACACAG
rnacentral:lncRNA from 1 species